UGAGAGUUUGAUCCUGGCUCAGGAUGAACGCUGGCGGCGUGGAUAAGGCAUGCAAGUCGAGGGCCGAUUUUGAUCGGCCCGGCAAACGGGUUAGUAACGCAUAGGAACGUACCCUCGAGUCUCGAAUAAUCCCUCGAAAGGGGGAAUAAUGCGAGAUAGUUCUCUUCGGAGUAAAGAUUUAUCGCUUGAGGAGCGGCCUGUGUCCUAUCAGCUUGUUGGCGGGGUAAAGGCCCACCAAGGCUAUGACGGGUAGGGGAUGUGAGAGCAUGAUCCCCAACAUUGGGACUGAGACACUGCCCAAACACCUACGGGUGGCUGCAGUCGAGAAUCUUCGGCAAUGGGCGAAAGCCUGACCGAGCGACGCCGCGUGGAGGAUGAAGGCCUUCGGGUUGUAAACUCCUUUUGCAAGGGAAGAAACCGUGUUCAGCACGGAGAAUCCAAUUACACUCCGCCUCAUCGGCGGAAACUUUAGGAAUUGUGUUGAGAAAAAAUGUUUUGAUCUUUUUUAGGGAGGAAUAAACAAUGGCCGCCCAAAGUCUUGAGAUUACGGCAAAAACAGAAGAGGCUUUAGAAAAAGAAGUCAACCAUCGUGUCGAGUUUGCGCCCCAAAUUGGCCGUCGGGUUACUGGUGUGCAGUUUAUGAAAACACUGGCUGCCGAUGGGAACCACAGGGCUAUACUCACGAUCGAAGGAGGAUGUUGCUGCUAAAAAACAAUUCCCCUAAAUCGAUUCAAGCGAGAUUGCGAACCUGCUUUCUCGCAAUCUCAACUCAAUUCCUAAAAAGAAAAAAGUGUAAUUGACGAUUCCGUGUUGGAUACGGCUGACGGUACCUUGCGAAUAAGAGGUUGCUAACUCUGUGCCAGCAGCAGCGGUAAUACAGAGACCUCAAGCGUUAUCCGGAUUUAUUGGGCGUAAAGCGUGUGUAGGUGGCGAUGAUAGUCAGAUGUCAAAUUCCAGCGCUCAACGUUGGAGCUGCAUCUGAAACGUCAUCACUAGAGGCAAGUAGAGGCUCAUGGAACAUAUGGUGUAGCAGUGAAAUGCGUUGAUAUCAUAUGGAACGCCAAAGGAGAAGUCAGUGAGCUGGGCUUUGCCUGACACUGAGACACGAAAGCGUGGGUAGCGAACGGGAUUAGAUACCCCGGUAGUCCACGCCCUAAACGUUGCCAACUAGGUCUUGGAAGUAUCGACCCUUUCAGGACCGUAGCUAACGCGUUAAGUUGGCCGCCUGGGAAGUACGGCCGCAAGGCUAAAACUCAAAGGAAUAGACGGGGACCCGCACAAGCGGUGGAGCACGCGGUUCAAUUCGUCAACAAGCGAGGAACCUCACCAGGGCUUGAAAUCCUACUGCAAAUCCCGAGAAAUCG
rnacentral:rRNA from 1 species